rnacentral:lncRNA from 1 species
GAUAACAUCAUGAAACUCCUUCUUUGCAAUUCCCAAAACUUCUUUCAAUGUGAAUUCCACCUUAGCAUUUAAUAUACGUUCUUCCAACACCCCUUUCAAAUUUGUUGCCGCUUCAAUGUCAGAAAGUAGCUUAUAAGCAAUUGAUUUGCCCUUAUCUUUUGUCUCCGUUGUUUUUUCUCCCAAUGAUGCUGAGGUAUCCUUUACAGGCAAUUCUUGUGAAGCUGCCUCCCGAGCCUUGUCUCCUCGAGUUUGUCUCUUAGAAGAAUUUCUUUCU